rnacentral:misc_RNA from 1 species
UCGAGUUUAUUCAACUCCCAAACCCUAUGUGAACUUACCAUAUUGUUGCUUCGGCGGAUCGUCCCAGGUGGCUUCACGGCCUCUGGAACCAGGCGUCCGCCGGAGAUUUCAAACUCUUCUGUUUUAUACAGUUUUAUCUGAGUGGCCGAAAGGCAACAAACAAAUGAAUCA